GUUGUGCUAUGUGCUGCAAUCCUGACAGUACUGAGUUGGCCUGCUGAUGUGUAUGAAGUGUCUGCAAGUGGAUGGAGCUGCUGCUGCUGACCUGUGAACUGAACUGUUGAUUUACUGACAAUGCACAUGUGAUUUGCACCAAAGAACCAUUUCUAAACAGGUUUGACUUUCUAAUGUUGCAUCAUAUUCUGUCAACCCACAUUGUAUGCACUUACUAAAAUUGCAGGGAAAGGAUGUUCUAGAAACUUGGAAAUGAGGAGAAGAUGAGCCAUUAUUCUUAUUCACUUAGAGAUGUUAUGGCAUUUAAUAUGUUUUAAUGACAAAAGGCUUCUGUGAUGGUGAGACACAUCAGCUCCUGGCAGCUCCCCCAUACGACUUCAGAGAAGAUGAUGGGCAUCAAAGAACCUCCACGUAGAGUUUGCUUCAAAUGUGGCAAAACCAGGCAUUGGGCAAAAAAAAAAC
rnacentral:lncRNA from 1 species